GGCCUUGGCGGGCAGGGCUUACACAUGCAGUCGAGCGGGGAAGAGUAGCUUGCUACUUUACCUAGCGGCGGACGGGUGAGUAAUGCUUAGGAAUCUGCCUAUUAGUGGGGGACAACAUCUCGAAAGGGAUGCUAAUACCGCAUACGUCCUACGGGAGAAAGCAGGGGACCUUCGGGCCUUGCGCUAAUAGAUGAGCCUAAGUCGGAUUAGCUAGUUGGUGGGGUAAAGGCCUACCAAGGCGACGAUCUGUAGCGGGUCUGAGAGGAUGAUCCGCCACACUGGGACUGAGACACGGCCCAGACUCCUACGGGAGGCAGCAGUGGGGAAUAUUGGACAAUGGGGGGAACCCUGAUCCAGCCAUGCCGCGUGUGUGAAGAAGGCCUUUUGGUUGUAAAGCACUUUAAGCGAGGAGGAGGCUACCGAGAUUAAUACUCUUGGAUAGUGGACGUUACUCGCAGAAUAAGCACCGGCUAACUCUGUGCCAGCAGCCGCGGUAAUACAGAGGGUGCAAGCGUUAAUCGGAUUUACUGGGCGUAAAGCGCGCGUAGGUGGCCAAUUAAGUCAAAUGUGAAAUCCCCGAGCUUAACUUGGGAAUUGCAUUCGAUACUGGUUGGCUAGAGUAUGGGAGAGGAUGGUAGAAUUCCAGGUGUAGCGGUGAAAUGCGUAGAGAUCUGGAGGAAUACCGAUGGCGAAGGCAGCCAUCUGGCCUAAUACUGACACUGAGGUGCGAAAGCAUGGGGAGCAACAGGAUUAGAUACCCUGGUAGUCCAUGCCGUAAACGAUGUCUACUAGCCGUUGGGGCCUUUGAGGCUUUAGUGGCGCAGCUAACGCGAUAAGUAGACCGCCUGGGGAGUACGGUCGCAAGACUAAAACUCAAAUGAAUUGACGGGGGCCCGCACAAGCGGUGGAGCAUGUGGUUUAAUUCGAUGCAACGCGAAGAACCUUACCUGGUCUUGACAUAGUAAGAACUUCCAGAGAUGGAUUGGUGCCUUCGGGAACUACAUACAGGUGCUGCAUGCUGUCGUCAGCUCGUGUCGUGAGAUGUGGGUUAAGUCCCGCAACGAGCGCAACCCUUUUCCUUAUUUGCCAGCGGGUUAAGCCGGAACUUAAA
rnacentral:rRNA from 1 species